rnacentral:lncRNA from 1 species
CAACAAUAAAACGUGCAGAAGAUUUAGAUGAUGAAUAAUAUAACAAACAGACACCACAAUUCUUCACCUUUACUCCUGGCUGGAAAGAAUGAAAUGACAACUCAAUGUUGCUAAAGGAUCCAUGCUGCCAUUCUUUAAGCUCUUUAAGGUAAUCAAAAGAUAGAUAGAGUAGCCAAAUAUGAUCUGACAGAACUUGGAUAGAGUUACAACUAAUACACAUUGGCGAAGGAUAAUUCUCUAUUCCAUUGGCUUUGAAAUGACAAAAAAGAGAAGGACUUUCACCAUUUGCACUGAAUGCAACACACGCAACAAACCCCAAACUCCAACUAGGCACUAGCACACUAAUUGAAGAUCCCUUACUUCGAUGGUUAAACCAGCCUGGAAUUUCAUUUCCUGGAAAAGCGAUACCAAAUCCAGGUCUUGGAUUAGACAAACCCUGUACCAUGAAGAACCAAAAUGUUAGAUAGAUAGAGGGAGAGGGAGAGGGACACAAAAAGGUUGGGGUAUGAUUAAGAGAAAACCUGGAGGUAUCUUUCAAGCAUGGUCAACCCCAAGCUGUCUUGGCCUUUAUGCUCGUACAAUUCCCGGCAGUCAAUACAUAUGAACUCUGAUCUUUUGGAACUGCUUAGCUUUAUCGGAUCUGGAAUUUCUUUAAGGCGUAUACAACCAUUCAAAUUUAAUGUUUGAACUUUUGAUGGAACCUCAGGCAAUGAUUCAAGCAUCCUACAAUCCUCCAAGACAAGCGUUUCAAGUCCAAAAAGCUUAUUUAUGCUCCUAGGAAGGCUAACAAAGUUAUUCCGGCUCAGAUCUAAAGACUUCAAUGAAGAUAAGCAGCCAAUAUCUUCAGGAAGUGCCCCUUCUCUUAGAUUGCAAGCGCAUAAAUCCAGUACUUCUAAAGAACACAGACCCGACAAAGAAGGCAACCUUUGAUCCGUGGGAUUCACAGCUAUUCUUUUGCAUCCAUCAAAAGAUAAUACUUUAAGACUCUUUAAAAGAAAAAUGGAUGCUGGCGGUUGUCUUAUUGAAGUUCCACUUACAUCAAACUCCUCCAAACUUUCAACUUUCCCCAAAUUCUCUGGUAUAUUUUUAAGUUCAGAGCAGCCAGACAGAUCGAGUUUUUUAAGGGAUUUCAAGCAACCUAUGCUACUCGGAAUGCUUUCAAGGUUCUUGCAGUUGUUCAUGCUCAAUACUUCUAAGCCAAUCAAAUGAUGAAUUGAUGAAGAUAGUUCAGCAAUACCAGUCCCGUCCAAACAAAGCUCCAUCAAACAGUUCAUGUUUCCCACUAUAUCUGGAAACUUCUCAAGUUUUGUGCAGCCAUCAAGAGUGAAAACUUUAAGCGAUUCCAUUUCAAGGUUGCUUGGGAGAAUCCUAAAACUUUUGCAAUUCACAAGAUUCACAUAUUGAAGAUUCUUGUGACGUCCAAGUGAUGGAUGGACCUCAGACAAACUUGUACAACCUUCAAGAAUCAGACUCGAGAGAUUUGGAAUUCCAGUAAGAUCUGGAGUCUUGGAUAGGUUUAGUGAGUUGCUGAGAUUGAUGACUUUCAAAUUAACAGCACUCUGCAAUCAGGCAGGGGAGAAGAAAUAUGGACACUACUAUCAUACGUAUAUAGGAAAACGUUAAAAAGAAAUACAAAUGCCCUUAAAUUAGGUGAUCUCACCUUACACCCAUACCAUAAUUGCUCAAUACUACUGUUAGCCAUGUGAAGUUCAACUAGCCCAUCCACCUGUAAACCAGCUGGCAAUGAUUUUGAAGGGUAAGAAUGCCAUUCAAGAAAUCGUAACUCCUUUGAAAGAUCUUCAGGUCCUUCAGAAAGCUGCACGUUGUCGAUUUUGAGCAAUCUUAGUCUGCUCAUUUUAGAGAAGGCUUUCAUGUUCCAUUGUGCCUCUUUUAUUCCAGGCAUGUCCAAGAAAAUGGCUUCUAUUUUUUCUUUUCCCUGUCAACCAAAAGGGAAUACAAGUUAAAAACAAAUACAAAGUAGAGAUUGAGCGUAAAUUAAAUUAAACUUUAUGAAAUCUUAUGGAUAAUGUUCUCUAUCAGCUACUCACUGUGUUGUCCAUCAGUGCAAGGCUGACAUCCUCGUAUGUCCACAAUCUACUGCGCUUUCCAGGCUCUUUAGGGUCUUCACAACGAACAAUUUCCUUACCCAUUAUCUGUAAUAAAUUAUGCAUCCAGACUUGAUCCCCAUAGACACUUAUGAGAGAUCUCUCAAUAAGAACUGGUAUUCCAAUACCUGCAUUGAAUCCACAGCUGUCAAGUAUCCUUGUUAUUCGAUCUUUUUUAAACCCCUUCAGGAAACAUGCAAUGUCUAAAAAUAUUUUCUGAUCUGAUUCAUGGAGACCAUCAAAACUAAUGCGAAGCACAUCCAUGAUUUUGCAGUCAGGAAUCUCAUGCAUUCUAUUAAUUGCACCUCUCCAUUCAGGGAUACUUCUUCCAUACAAAAACGAACCUAUAACUUCAAGAGCCAGUGGAAGGCCAUUAGCAUAACCCACAACUUGCUUGGAUAGUUCCACGAAAUCUUCAGCAGGUUGGUCAUUUUUGAAAGCUUUCUGGCUAAAUAACAUAAGAGCAUCAUCAUCAUUCAAUUUCUCAGCCUCAUAAAUUUUAGUAUCAUCAUUUCCAGUAAACACAUUUUUAUCUCUGCUUGUUAUGAUUAUUCUGCUCCUUGGACCAAACCAUCCAGGCUCCGCAGCCAAGAAUUCUAGUUGUUUUUUGUCAUCUACAUCAUCAAGGAUAAGAAGAAUCUUUUUAAGUCUUAACCUCCGCUUUAUCAUCUCAAUCCCUCUAGAAGAAUCCCAUACAGAAGCACGUUCCAUUAAGAUUUCAGAAAGAAGUUGUUCCUGUAAACGGCGUGGUCCAUCUUUCUCAGCAAAAACUUCUCUGACAUUUGCUAAGAAGCAGCUGCCUUCAAAUUGCCAACGAAUCCUAUCAUAUAGUACCCUUGAAACAGUCGUCUUACCUAUGCCACCCAUUCCACAAAUCCCUAUGAAGAUUGCUUCGCCAACUUCUUCACCUAUAUAGCCAUUUAAUACCUCUACACGAGAAUCUAUUCCAACUAAUUUUUUGCUAAUUGUUGGCAGAGUGACGCUUAGUUUGUACGAUAUGUAUUCAGCAAUUAUUUUAAUUGAUUCCGACUCAUUCCUGCAUAGGAGGGUGCAAAACAUUAAUCAUGCAGUGUUCAGAAAUCAAAUCAGAUAGUGAUAAAGGGAAAAUAAAUAUAUUUUAGCUCAAAAAUGUAUGGUUUUUAGCCGGAAAUUAAUACACCAACCUUUGAGAAAGAUAGGGUCCUGAUAAUAGAUAGCUUCAAGAACAGAGAGGAAAAGGAAAGAAUAAACUGAAAACGGAACUAGGAUUGUAUUGAUGCUAAGAAUGAUCCGUACAAUAGCUAUCUUAUUGCCUAUAGAAUCACACAGUUACUACAGAAGCAUGCAUACAAGAACAAAAGCUAGGAAAUAAAAUAUCCAUUAAGUUUGGUUUUAACAGACCAAAAGGCAAAAGGAGUUCUAUCAUAUUUUUUGUCAACCACUAAGUUAUUUUUAUAAUUAUUUUUAACAAAAAUUUCAAUUAGAAAAAAACAACUUUAAAUUUAUUAAUUUUCAAGUUUUUUCUCAUACUCGCAUAGCCCGAAAAUAAUUUCCUAGACUAACAUAGUUUAAUUAGUAUCACAUAUGCGUCUCGCAACUCAAAUUUUCUCUCUUUCACUUUGAUUAUUGUUUCAACCCAUUUCUUCAUGUCUCUUCUCUAUUUAAUUUUUUAUUUGGUCUUUCAAUUUUUAUACAAUUUUACUAUUAAUUUCAAUAUAAUGACCAUUUCAUUAAAAUAAACUUAUUUUUAUUUAAGUUGGGCAAAAACAUAACAAUAUUUUAGGCAAAAGUUAACUCGUUUUUAGCGAUUGCAUUGGAAAUAAUUAUCAACUUUAAUUCAUAUAUUUUUUAUGUGCAAAAGAAUAGAUGAAAUGAUCACAAUAAUGGAACUAAAAUUAACUAAAUAUAAAAAUUAUAAAAUGAUCAUAUAUCCAGACUCAACCAAAAUGUUUAAUUCAAUGUUAAAGUAUGAAAUCAGAAAUAUAUAUAUCAAUUUUAAAAACUUGCCAAGGUUAAAAAACAUAACAAUAAAAAAUGAAGGAUGAAAUCGCCAAAAAAAUAUUAAAAAUAAUCUCACAUAAAAUAAAUAGUAAUUAAAAUAAUGAGAAUCAAAUCUAAUAGAUUAAAAAAUUAAAAAGUAUAAAAUUAAAAAAAAUUAAUUCUAAAAAAUAAUUCAAAUAAAAAAAUCAAUUGAAAGAAAAUAGACCAAAUAUGAAAAAAAAAAAAAAAAAAACCAAAUUGAAGGGUUACUGUACAAGUUUAGAUGGUCGGGUGUGGAAUUCAAAGAUAGAGAGAAAAGAAAAGAAAAGAAAAUCAUUUGGUGCCAAACCAGAAAGAAUUACUCCACACAUGCCACUCAGGGAGGGAGGUCAUGUUGUGGUGAAUCAGAAAACAUCAAUGAAGGUCUUUUUUGGGUGUCAUAAGUCAUUGCUCGUGCUGCUUAAAUAAGACAGAACAACUUACUCGCUUGUGUGUUCUACAAACAAGCCAACCACUUUUCUUUUUUUUUUUUUAUCGCAAAAAAACAAAACAAAACAAAAGACAUGAAUAAAUCCCUUGAAAACAAGGUAAGUAUUUUUAAUUUUAAAGAAAAUAAAGUUAUUUUAUUGCACCCUGAAAAGUGAAAUCCCUAAAAAGCUCCUAUAACUAAUUUAUUUAUUUUUACUUUUAAGGGCAACUAAGUAAUUAUACCGUAAAAAAUACCUAACUAGCCCCAAUCAAUUCUAUAAUGACUAUUGGCCCUUAUAAAAAGACCAUAUUAUUCCUAAUAAGUAGUAAAAUUUGUAAAUUCAUUGUUUCAAUCCAUUAGUAAAUCAAGACAUUUCUCAAGGAUUUUAAAUUUUUGUUAAUACAAUCGUAUCCUCUAUUAUUCUAUAAUACAAUCAGGAAAAAAUAUUCUAAUGAUACUAAAAAUGUCUUUGUAAUAUUGACUUUUUCUAAAGAUGCCUCAAUAAAUUCAAUUUAGAUAAUUGAAAUUUUAUUAUUUGAUCUAUUAAAUAAUAGAAAUUAGCAAAAGGUUCAAGAAUUUUUUUAAUUUGUUUUCAAUUUUUAUUUUAUAAAAAUUAUGACAAUUGAGAUUUGAGACAAAAUUAAAGAAAAAGGGUCGUCAAAAAGGCUAUUUAAUGAAUCAAAAAUAUAUACUAAUAAUUAUUUACUCAAGAAUUAGUUUUGAAACUCUUGUUGUAUUGUGAUAAUUUCGAUAUUUAAUCACACGUUUAAAUUGAAAAACAUUGAAAAAAAAAAGCUAUGAUCAUCAUUGAAACAAUACAGGGAGGAUUUGAGAAUAAGAAUAAGUAGAUAGAUGAUUUACCUAUUCCGUAUGUCCCAGCCUGAUAGAUUGGUCACCGUAGAGAGACAAUCUUUCCAGAUCUGGACCUUCUCCAGAUUUUCCUUGAAAUUUUGUUCAUGCUCAACGAAGGCUUUCUCAUAUGUCUCUGAGGGAUCCACAUCAUAAAAAACUGGCAGAACAGUGUGCCCCAUCUCUUUCAUGCCCUGAACAAUCUUGACAAGUUCAUCCAAGCACCAUGGUGAAGAAGCGUAAUCUCUUGAAAAUAUAAUGACAGAAAACCUUGAUUCUUCGAUGGCCUUCCAGAGAGCAGGUUCAAUGGUCUUUCCUCUCUCGAGCUCCCUAUCAUCCAUGUAUGCAUCGAUGCCUCUCUGUGCCAGAUUAGUUUGUAGAUGACUAGUAAAGUUGUUCCGGGUGUCUUUGCCUCUAAAACUAAGGAACACAUCAUACUUAUAUAGUGGAGGAGAAGAUGAAGAUGAGGUUAUUCCUUGCACGCUGGUGGAAGCCAUGAAAAUCCCUAUAGCGAUAAACUAGUAACGAUCCCUUCUGGCCUCAACUAGCUCGCUUGGUUCAGCAAUUGCUUUCCACGCUAUUUUGUAUAAGGCCUGCUCCUGUGGUCAAACAUGAAACAGAAGGUAAGAUCAAGAAAUUUGGCAAUUAAAUCUACCAAUUAGCAAUUUCAAGCUGGAACAUGUACAAUUCUACUUAUAAAUCAGAAAACACCAAAUUUCUACAAGUAUUACAUGAAUCUAGACGAAACAAACCGUGUGGUAGGUGUUGGCUAAAGAGGCACAAGAUCCAGCCAGGCUCAAUAUUUUUUCUUCUUCUGGUAUCUUAGUAACCAACUUCCAAAGCCCUUUACUUUCUUUUUAUUCCAAUGACUUCGAAUUUUUUCCGGUUCCUUUAGGUCAAGAACUCGUAUUGGUAAGUUUCCAAUGAUUUUCUUACGGAUCUUACACUGUAAAGAAGAUGGACUUUCGGUGGAGAAAAAGUAGAGAAAGAAAUGAAAGGGAUAUCGAACGCGCAUUGGGCAGCAGAGGCACCUUCCUGUCAAGAGCAGGGGUGGGGCCACGCACCUCACAAUUGAGUUGAUUCGUGUUUUGUAAUGAAUUUUCAAGUCAAGCAUCUAUGUUUAAAAUAAAUAUUUUUGGACUUCUUUUGUUUCUUUCCCUUUGGUGCCUUCCUCUCCCUUGUAAUUCUGCAUAUAUAAGAGCAACUUCAAUAAGACAUGCUAUUUUUAAAAGUUAAAAAUUAAAUUGAUAAAAUGGAUGUAAAUAUAGUGUUUUUAUGUGAAAUUCUAAUGAUAAAAUAGUUAAUUAUAUUUUAAUAUAUUUUAUAUUAAAUUUAUUUUAAUAUAAUUAUAUAACUAGUUUAAUUAUUUUUUAUAUAAUACAAUCAUGUUAUUAUUAUAUAAUUAAUUAAUAUGACUAAUUUAUAAAAUUAAUGUUGUAAUAUCAAAGUUAAAAGAUAUAAUUUAAAGUUAGAAAAUAGCUUUGUAGGAUCAAAAAGACCCUUUAAAGUACAAAUUGUCGUUGUUUAAAAUAAUAUAUUUAGUGUAAAAGUUAGAAAAUAGCUUUGUUUUAAAUAUUUAUAUUAUUUUUUUCACAUAAAAUAUAUUAAUUAACAAAAAGCUAAAACAUGCAGUGAAAUCACUGUAACUGGUAAAACACUGUAGGUUUUGUCUUUGGUUUGUUGGAAAGUAAGGUUGUUUUUGAGGGCUGUUUUGGUCUUUUUAACAGGGAUAAAAGAGAGAUGAGAUGGGAGGAUAGACUGGGAAGAGAAGUGUAGAAUUGUGGUUCCUAAAAGGGGACAGAGAGAAAAAAGAAAGAUGGGGUGAUGAUGAUGGUUCCAGCAGUGCUUGCACUCUAAGUUUCUCUUGUUUGGUUUUUGUUGACCGUCUCCAGUUUCAUGUUUUUCACGGUUUGAUUUAUUUGUUCAGUUCACAUACGCACUUUGAUUUACAGUUGGUUAGAAAAAAAUAAAUUGUUCAUCUCUAUGGUAUGCAGGGCGUUGUUUGUAAUGCUUCCUCUUUUUUGGGUCAUCAAUUUCCAACUGAUUUGGAUGAACACACUAUGUAUAUGUGUGGCUAAUGCUCAUAGAAAAUGACCUAUUCCCGUAGAUAAUAAUAAUAAUAAUAAUAAUAAUAAUAAUGUUGUUAUUAUUAAUCUUAAUUAAUAAUGUUUAAUAUAGUAUAGCAAAACUGAAUCCAACCUCUUGGAUACUGUAGCCACCAUAACUUGAACACUAAGUGCAAACCCAAUAUUUGUAUAUUCUUCUGGUAUCUUAGUAACCAACUUCGAAUGCCCUUUUCUUUUCUUUUUAUUCCAAUGACUUCGAAUUGUUUCCGGUUUCUUUAGGUCAAGAACUCGUACCGGUAAGUUUCCUGGAUUUUCUUACCGAUCUUUUUCUUACACUGUAAAGAAGAUGGACAAGAUCCAGCCAAGCCUAAUAUUUUUUCUUCUUCUGGUAUCUUAGUAACCAACUUCCAAAGCCCUUUUCUUUCUUUUUAUUCCAAUGACUUCGAAUUUUUUCCCGUUACUUUAGGUCAAGAACUCGUACUGGUAAGUUUCCUGGAUUUUCUUACGGAUCUUUUUCUUACACUGUAAAGAAGACGGAGUUUCGGUGGAGAAAAAGUGAAAAGAGAUAUGAAAGGGAUAUCGAACGCACAUUGGGAGCAGAGGCACCUUCAAUGAAAGGGAUAUCAAGAGCAGGGGUAUAUAUACUUUCAACUUGCUUUUGGCUCGAUCGGUAAGCUUGGUAGCUUGGUAAAAGCAUCUCCAAUGAAGAAGCUAAAUGAAUAAUUAAAAAUAAAAAAUUAAUAUUUUGGUUUUUCUUGGGAAAAACCAAAUAAAAUGCUAAAAUGCCUUUUUUUUUCCACAAAUAUUAUUUCUAUAUAUCUCUCUAAAGAGCCAAAACCAACAAAGUAGGGCCACUAAAAAAAUAAACCAAUUAAAUGUAGCCAUGUGGAAAAAAAAAAUAACUUCAAACUUAUUAAGAAAUAAUAAAACACUUAUUUCUUCCACUUUAAUAUAAAUGGCUCUUUAAAUGGCUUUUUUUCAUUGGAAUAGAUAUAGUAAAAAAAGCUAUAUUUAUACUAUUUAAAAUGCUAUUUUAUCAAUUUAACUUUUUUAAAAUAGCAUUUUGCAUUGGAGAUGCUUAAAAAGAUGCUAUUUUAGCUAUUUAAUUAUGCUCCAAUGACUUCAAAUUAUAAAUUGGAUGACAAAAUUUAACAAUGAAAGGCAUAAUAAAAUAUAAUCCAUAAUAAAUAUCAUAUUAAUAGCUUUGUUUUAAAUAUUUAUAUAAUGUUGUUGGUCUAAUAGGAUCGAAAAGACCAUUUAAUGUAUAAAUUAUUGUUGUUAAAAAUAAUAUAUUUAGUCUAAAAGUUAGAAAAUAGCAUUGUUUUAAAUAUUUAUAUUAUUUUUUUCACAUAAAAUAUAUUAAUUAACAAAAAGCUAAAACAUGCAGUGAAAUUACUGUAACUCGUAAAACACUGUAGGUUUUGUCUUUGGUUUUGUUGGAAAGUAAGGUUGUUUUUUAGGGCUGUUUGGUCUUUUUAACAGGGAUAAAAAAGAGAGGUGAUGAUGGAUUUUUGACCCGAGAAAAAGGAGGAGAGGAGGAAAGACGAGCUUGGAUUCAAUAGCUAUUGCGUCUUGUUCCCAGUUUCUUAUUGGUCAGGGCUUGCGCACUUUGAUUUACAGUUGGUUAGAAAAAAAAAAUGUUCAUCUCUAUGGCAUGCAUGGCGUUGUUUGUAAUGCUUCCUGUUUUAUUUUUUAUAAUUUUAAUUUAUCAGGAUCGUCAAUUUCCAACUGAUUUGGAUGAACACACUGUAUAUAUGGAUUGUGUUUCUCUUGCUAUUUUAGUUAAUGAAAGCAAAUAUAGACCCCUGAUAAUUUGCUUUGCUGAAUCAGCGCUUUUUUUCUUUUUCAUUUUUAGCUAUGAACAUGUUUAUGAUAAAAUCUGAUAUUUAAAUAAGUAUUUUUUUAAUAUAUAUAUAUAUAUAAUAUUAUAAAAAAAAUACUCUGAAAUUAUAUAUAUAGUAGAAAAUAAAGAUUGUGAAUCUCUAUUCUGAAUAUCUUGUGUGUAUUUAUAGUCUAUGAGUCUUGUUCUUCUAUGAAGAGACUCUGAUAGCAUUUAAUAAAUGAUAAAUACCUUUUAUAUCUAUAUUAAUAUUUGAUGAAAAUAUGGUGAGUUCUUAAAGGACUUUUAUACACUUAAAAGUAUAGGAAAAUUAGAGUCUACAACAUCAAAUGCAGCUAAUAUUCAUAGAGACUGAGCUAUUCGCAUGAGGUAGACCCAAGGACAAUUGACCAUUCUCUUAGGCGUACCCAAGAAAAGAAAGCCAUUCCACACUGUCAAACCCAGAAUGUCUGGGACUUGGCAUAGAUUUGGCCAGCGCCAGACCUGACAUGUUUUCAUUAGGACAUGUUUAUAUUCCUGAAAAUUUAAACUUAUAGAUCUUUCUUGAAUUUUUAUAAAAAUAUACAAAUAAAAUCUUAAUUAAUCACUCUCAAACUCCUUUUUGGAUGUUCAUUGUUCUCCUUGGAUCCACACAUUCUUUGAUUGAUGUAUGAAUAUAGCAUCCUCCGUUUUUUUUUGUCUUUUUAUAUAUUUAUGAAUAUAGCAUCCUCCGUUUUUUUUGGUCUUUUUAUAUAUUUAGCUCUCCAUCUCAAUUUACACAUCAUUUUAAUUUUUUUACCAUCAACGAUAUUCCUGGUGCAUGUGCUUGCAUGCUUUGUUUUGAGUAUUGAUUAUGAUUGAUGAAUUAUUUGCUUUAAUGAGAUCUAACUGCUCUCCAUGUAACAAAAAAAGGAAAAGAAAUCCAUGACCUAUAUUGCUUUUUUACCCCUUUUUUAAAUAUUGGGAAAAAGUUUGAAAAUUGUUGCCUUUUCUUCUCUUUAGAUAUUCAAACAUAUAAAGAUUUGAUAUUUGAGGGUUUUGUUCUUUUUAGAUAUUCUUUUUAUUCACACAAAAGAGUAAAAAGCCAUAUUGUCGCACAGAAACAUGGUCUCAUCAUACCACUGGUCCGCCACCACCAAACUGCAAGUUUUCAACAGGUUGCACGGUCUCGGAGAAAAUAGGCUGUGGACCAGGAACAACAAUUUUCCGAAAAACAGAUCUAGAAAAAACCAAAAACCAAUUCAAAAACAAACUGGUCCAGUUUGGUCAAAAUCAGGAAACCAAAUACCUUGAUAAAGUCUGCAAAAAAGCAAAGGGAUAAUUUGAUAUUAUCAGUAAGGAUAAUCAAAGAAAAAAAAGAUCAAAGCAAAACAAAAUAGCCAAGAAAAAACUAUCUAACUAAAUUAAGGAAGUUUACUUUUCAAAAAUAAAAUAAAAAGAAAAAUGAGAUGAACCAAUCUGAUCUAAUUUCAAUUCACAUAAAUGAGCAUAAGAGAUCAUCUCGGGGGGACAACAUAAAAAAGCAAAAGAAAAAUUUAGUCAAAAGUGCAUGAAUGAUGAAAGUUAACUUUUUUGGUUACAAGACAUCAAAUAUUUUAAAUUAUAUUUAUCUUUCAAUUUUUUUUAUUUAUUUAGUCUUCACUUUACAUCAAUAUUAUAUUCUAACAUUUAUUUUUGUAUAUAAUUCUUGAUAUCACAUGCAUCAAUUCUUCUUUUAACAAUAAAAAAAAAAUAUUUCUUCAACCUAAACAAAAGUUAACAGUGCUCGCAUAUUUUUGCAAGAACAUGUUGUGCUAUGGUUUCUUCGAUGGUCAGAAAAUCAAGGGCCACCAUCCAUGGGCAUCCAAACACCUUUUACACUGUAAAGAAGAUGGAGUUUCGGUGGAGAAAAAGUGAAAAGAGAAAUGAAAGGGAUGUGGAACGCGCACUGGGCGGCAGAGGCACCUUCCUGUCAAGAGCAGGGUUGGGCCACACACAUCACAAUUUUAAAAUUUUAAAAUUGAAACUGCACCGGAGAAUUUUAAAACUGAAACUGAAUUGGAUCGAAUUUUUUUAGUUUUUUAAUUAUUUUAUUUAGUUUCUUUUCUUCAUUCGUUUUUUCUAGUUGAUUUUUGUUUUAGUUUAAACAAUUUUUCAGUUUUCUUGAAUAUUCCUAAUGCUUAUUAUACUGAAAUAUGAUACCUGAAACAUGUAAGGUUGUAAAGCGCAUGUUAGAGAAUAAUAUAAAUUAUAUCUUAGAAUCUCACCUAACAGUUUAAGCUAUUAGGUUGAGAUGGUUCUUUGACAUGAUAUCAGAGUCUUGAUGACCCAGCGGUCACGAGUUCGAAUCUCAUCAUCCCCAUUUAUUUAAUAAAAAUCAAGCACAAGGUAAUGUGGGCCUGUGCAAGUUUCAAGCUCAAAAGGCUUUCACUUGAGGGGGUGUGUUAGAGAAUAAUAUAAAUCAUAUCCUGAAACCUUACCUAAUAGCUUAAGUUAUUGGGUUGAGAUGGUUAUUUGACAGCGCAUAACAAUCCUGCACAUUUGUGCAUCCCUUGAGUUCUUUUUCAUUCAAAUUAUACUCUUUUGAUCAGCAUUACUAGUUAAGCACAAUCACAUUAAAUAUUAUAUAAUAUAUUUUCAUGUUCUAUCUUAGUAUACCUUAUUUGCAGAUAACAAUUUUAAUGGGAAUUGGCCGAGAAUUUUCUUUGAGAGUCUAUUCUCCUCUACAUUCUUUUCUUUUCAAUAUUUUUUUUUUACUUGUCUAUUAAUACUGUAUAACUGACAUAAUUACAAGGCUGAAGAGUGGUGAAUAAUUAUAACAGUUAUUGUCAGGAUAUAACUUUUUAUCUUUUUUUCUUAUAUUACUUUAUUAAUAUAAAUAAUAUUACCCAAAUCUAUUUUCCUUCAUUUACACUAACAAGAUUUUUAGUAUUAAUUAAGAGUUUUAUUAUGACUUUUUAGCAUUUAUUAGGAAUUAUUUUCUAGGACACUCUUACCAAUUGUCAAACCUCAUAAGAGAGAAGAAAGCUGAACAAGGGAACGCAGUAAAUGAAGAAUAUGAAUUUAUUGUAUUUACUGUCAAGAAUACAAACGUGAGCACUAAUACUAAUUUGUACAGGAUACUCUUUAUAUAUAGAGUAGUAAUUAACUAUUGCCUUUUCAUCACUUAUUUCUUUCUAUGAAUACAAUAUUCCUUAUUUAUAUAUAUUGAUUUGUUUCUAAAAUGAGGUAGUUGUAGUUUCCUUCUAUGAGAGAUCUGCCAUGGCUGUAGUUUCCUUCUUUGAGAAGUAGCCGUUGGUUGAGGUAGCUGUUGAUUCCUAUGAUUUCCAUGUAUGGUUAAUUACCAUUCUGAAUAGUAGCCGUUGGAGGUGUUAAUUCAGAAUGGUUGCUGACGAGGGUGAGGAUCCUGUGGUGGUGGUGCUGCUGUCUCCUGCUGCUGCUGCAGAGUUGUUUUGUUGCUGUUAAUACCCUCCCUCAAACAUUGCCGAGGUUGGAGGCAAAGCUUGCGCUGAAAACGAAGAAGAGUAGCUUUGGACACCGGCUUAGUAAACAAAUCAGUAAUCUGAUGUGUAGUGGGAAUAUGAUGUGUAAUAAGUUUCCCAAGAGCUACGCGUUCGCGUAUAAAAUGAUAAUCAAGUUCAAUAUGCUUGCUGCGAGCAUGGAAAACAGGAUUGAUCGUCAUAUGGAGCGCACUAAGAUUAUCACAAUAGAGCACCGGUGGAGAUAUCAAGAGAAUGUGUAAAUCAUGAAGGAUAUAGGUCAACCAGGCAAGUUCUGCAGCCGUGUUGGCCAUAGCACGAUAUUUAGCUUCAGUGCUUGAGCGUGAAAUAGUAUGUUAUUUCUUGGCACACCAGGAGAUGAGAUUACAUCCAAGGAAGACAUAGUAGCCAGUGGUAGAACGUCGUGUAGUAAGACAGCCAGCCCAAUCAGCAUCUAAAAAAGUAGAGAAAUUAAGAUUAGUAUUAGAAGUGAAGUGCAGACCAUUAUUAAUAGUACCUUUGACAUAUCGUAAGAUAUGACGGACCAUUUUUAAGUGAACAAUUGUAGGAGCAUGCAUGAAUUGAGAGACAUAAUUAACAAUAAAAGAGAGAUCUGGUCGAGUAAGGGUGAGAUACUGGAGGGAGCCAACAAGCCCCCGGAAGAAACUGACAUCCGCUAAAAGAGGAGCAUUUGAGAAAGCUUUAGUUUGUGCUUCAAGUGGUGUAGUCAUGGGUUUACAGUCAACCAUAUCAUCACGUUCUAGAAUUGUAAAGGCAUAAUGUGAUUGUGAUAAGUGAAGUCCAUUUGGCGUGGGCGAAAUUUCUAUGCCAAGAAAAUGAUGAGCAGGGUCUAAGUCCUUCAUGGCAAAUUCUUGACUGAGUAGAGUAAUGAAGUCUGCAACAAGUGUAUCUAUAGUUCCUGUAAGAAGUAUAUCAUCAACAUAAAGUAGGAGAAUAAGAGAAUCAUGAUCAGAAUGAAAAGUAAAUAGAGAAGGAUCUGUUAAGCUGCAAAGGAAACUGUAUUUGAGGAGAAAGGAACUAAAACGGUCAAACCAAGCACGAGGUGCUUGUUUAAGGCCAUAGAGGGCACGUUGGAGCUUGCAGACAUGUUGUGGACGUUGAGGAUCUGACAGUCCUAGUGGCUGUUCCAUGUAGCGGUUUUCAGAAAUCAAACCAUGCAGAAAUGCAUUUUUUACAUCAAGCUGCCUCAGGGCCAGUGAUGAACAAGAGCUAUAGUGAUAAUUAGCCGAAUGGUGCUGCGCUUUACAACUGGAGAGAAUGUUUCAGUGUAGUCGAGGCCAUCAAUCUGGUGGUAUCCUUUAGCAACAACACGGGCUUUGAGACGCUCCAAGCUGCCAUCAGAUUUGAGUUUGGUUUUAAACACCCAUUUGGAACCUAUGAUAUGCAUAUCGGUGCUACGAGGUACCAAUUUCCAUGUCUGAUUUUGGUGUAAGGAUGUAAGUUCAUCCUCCAUUGCUGCUUUCCAUCUUGGAUGAGUUAGUGCAGCUCGCACAGAUCACGGUUCAUGUGGCAUCCCAGCAGAGAUGACAGAUGUUAAUGCAUGUUUGGGAUUUGGUUUUAUAAUGCCAUGUUGGGACCGAGUGGUCAUGGUACGAAGAGCUGAGGUAGAGGAAUUGGGAACAAACUCGUCUGCGGAGGCAUCACUAUAGGGAGGUUGUGCAGCUUGGUGCAGCGCACGUUGUGAACGAGUAACCAUAGAGUGAGAAGCUGAAUGUGGGUGGUCCUGCUGCUGCAGAGUAGUUAAGUUCUCAGAGAGUGGUUGCUGGGAAAUAUUAGGGCAAAGAUUGUGGGCAAUCUCCUGCUAAGUGGGAGCUGCUACCUGCUGAAUAUCAUUCUCCUACUAUGGUGUUGUAGUGAGGAAGAGGGUUCUAUAUAUAGAUCAGUGGGAGAACCAGAAUUAGAGAGAUCAUGAAGGGAUUGUACAGCCGCAGAGUUAGAGAUAUCAGGGCAAGAAGUGUGCAUUGUCUCCUGCUGGAAUGUCUCCGGCUGAGUAAUUGAAGUGUCAUACUGCUGUUGAAGCUGUUGGCGGGCUGAAGUACUAUCACCAUGGAGGUGCAAAGCAACAUCAGCUGGAGAAAUAUGUGUUAAACACGCUGGUGUAUCUGAGGUCAUGGUAGGGAGUAGGGGUAUGGGCAGUGAGCUGAAGCAUGGUGGUGCUGCUGGUGUUUCAGAGAUAUCUGCAGGAGAACGUGAAGUAGGGAUAGUUAGCCAAGAGUCAAAUAUGCUAAUGACAUGAUUAGAGUGAUCAAUAUUUGUGGUGGUAUUAGUUUGUUUAUAUGGAAGGAUAGAUUCACUAAAAACCACAUGUCGUGAGACAAAAAAAAUUUUGCUUGUUAGAUGAAAGCAUUUAUAUCCCUUAUGUUGAUCACUAUAUCCUACAAAAAUACAUGGAACACUUUUUGGAUCAAAUUUAAUUCGUCUUGUGUCCCAAGUGUAAGGGAAACAUCGGGAGCCAAAAAUACGAAGAGAUGAAUAAAAAGGGUGGUUACCAUGUAAUCGGAAGUAUGGAGUGUCAGAGUUAAGAGCAGAAGAGGGUAGUCUAUUAAUGAGAUAAACAGCAGUUGUGAAAGCUUCAACCCAUAAAAAUAAAGGAGUACCACUAUGGAAUAACAUUGUCAUACCUAGUUCUCUUAUAAUUUUGUGUCGCCUUUCAACCAUACCUGUUUGUUUAGGAGUGUAAGGACAAGAUACCUGGUGAACAAUUCCUGUGGAGCGAAAAUGACUUGAUAAUUUUGAAUUAAUAAAUUCUCCUCCUCCAUCUGAGUGAAAAACUUGGAUCUGUUUAUUGAAUUGCCUACUAACAUACUUUUCAAAUGAUAUAAACACUGUUAGAAAAUCAGAUUUGUUAUGAAGAGGAAUUAUCCAUGUAUAUUUAGAGAAAUCAUCUACUAGGCAAGCAUAAUAUUUGAAUUUUCCAAUAGAUAAAACAUGGGCAGGUCUCCAUAAAUCACAAUGUAUUUUUUCAAAAACAUCAGUACUUGAAUGUUCAGAAUGCGAAAAAGGUAAUUUGCUAAGUUUUCCUAAUUGACAACUAUCACAAAGGUGCUCAGUCUUCAUAGCUCCUGUGACGUCAAUCAAUCGUUUAUUUUUUAAUAGCUGCACUGCAGAAGCUUGAGGAUGUCCUAGGCGUUGAUGCCAAACUGCUGAUGAUCCAGUUUUAAAACGAUAAGAAAAAUGUAAUUCUGGCGAGUUGUGCAAGACAUAAAGAUCACCCUUACGUCUACCUGUGAUAAGAGGUUGUCCUGUUUUCCGUUCCUUAACACAAAAAUCGACGUCAGAAAACUCACAGUUCACAGGAAAUUGUUUGGUAAGCUGACUUACUGAAAGUAAAUUUUUAGUUAAUUCAGGAACAAGGAGAACAUCAUUAAUAGGUAAUUUAGUAUUGUUUUGUUUAAUAAAUGAAUCUCCAAUACCAACAAUCGGUAGAGACGAUCCAUUUCCAAUAACAACAGAAUCAGUUCCAAAAUACUUACGAACAUCAGUUAACAUACCUAGCUUACUUCUUAUGUGAUUCGAUGCACCAGUGUCUGAUGUCCAUUCCGUGUCAGCCACAGUGUUGUCUAGCGUAAGGGCUGCUAGUGCUUGUGGGAUUUCAGUGUCCUGAGUAGUAUUUUGUUUAGGUAUCCACCAGCAUAUUUUAGCAAUGUGACCCGUUAUGCCACAAUAUUGGCAUUUGUCUUCACGAUACAUGUCGCACGUCACCCGCGCGUCGUGGCGAAUAUUCCACUUUAAAAUCUAGGAAGUGUGUAUAGUAUCUAUCUGGCAAAUGUGGGAGACAAGAAAAUAUUGUCUUUUGUUGGUGGAAAAUGGAAUGGGAGUCGCCACCUAGUAUUUUGGUCACUAGGAACCCUAACUGGUCUCAGAGAUUGGGUACGGGGAUUGGUUGCGUAAAGGGAAGGUAUUAGCACCCCAAAUACGCCCUACCUAAGGUAAGCUGCAUUGUUUAUUUGUAUGAUAAAAUUUAAGGUCUUGUUGUGUUUCCUAAUUGUUGGUAUGGUUCAAGAAAAGUCCUCCUCGGUAAGGAGAUCCUUAUCUUAUUGGGUAAUUCUGACGUUAACAAAAGAAUUUAAUAUCCAGAAUACGUCUUACGUAUUUAUUGGGUGAUUGUGCAUCAAAAGUAUCAUUAAGUCUCUUAUUUUACAUAUGUAUUUAUUGUUUUUAUUUGGGUUUUUUUUAUAAUAAUUGAUGUGCUUUUUAGUAAUGAAGUUUCUUUUAAUGUCUCGAUAGGUUUUUGGAGCUUAAAUGAAUUAUUUCAGAAAAUUCAACGUCGGAAUUCGGAACAAAGAAUUGAAGAGAAAUUUAGUUGAAGAUUGAAGAAAAUCUUGGUUCAAAUAAGUGCUCCAAAUUUGCCCCAAAAAUCAAUUCUAUUCCAAUUCUAGAAAAGAAUAUCAUAUGAUCUAUUUCAAGCCCAAACUUGCCUUAUGUUGUGUGCAAACUUCAACCAUCAAACACUUAAGGUUUUAAUGUCAAUCUUAGCCCAAAUAAUAGAUACAUUUGUAUUCUUAUUUGAUGCUUAAAUUCAGCCCCAAAUCAGCCUCAAAUCAGCCCAAGCACAAUCCAUGAUCUUACAUGUCCACACAACAAAUAACAUUUGAUUUAUUUUGGAUAAUUCAUUGAUCCAAGAGGGCAAGCACAUGGAUGGAAAGCUGGAGGGGACAUUGUCACAUUAUUUUGGGUCAAAAAGAAGAAAGAGACAGCUCACAAAGGAGGAAGAAAAACGUGCACCAAAGUGUUCUCCAAGCUGGCCUGAUUUGAUUUUCCAGAACACCUUUCGGUGUUUUGCCCAUAACGUUUGACUCGGAUGUCCAAAUGAGCUGUUCUUUAAUGAUCUAGAAAGCUAACAGAAUGGCCUAUAAAUAUGUCUCAAUAGCCAUCUUCAAAAGAGGCUUCUAAAAGGGUCGAAUUGCUGUCCAAAGUUAGAGUCAGAUUUGUGUCCGAAUAUUUACUGAAAUUGUGUUGUAUUCUUCUUUAUAGAUUUCGGUUCUUUAGCUUGUAAAACUUAUUAUUUCAAUGUGAUUCAAGUUAUUUCAUGUUUAUUGAAGUGUUCUUAUUUAUAAUCAUGGUUGGCUAAUCUUCUUCUUGGAUCCAAAUCAAGGAUGAUGGUGAUUGAGGUGAGUUCUUUAAGAUAUGAAUGAAUCUUAAUGUUUAUCUUCUUAUUUUCUUCAUGAAUGUUUUAUUAUUGCAAAGAAAUUUUAGAAAUCAUUUAGGUAAUGUUAUAAUCUUGAAUUUUUAUGCACAAACCUUAGUUUUGGUAUAGAGAUUGCUUGAUUCAAUGUCUUACUUAAUAUGAAAGUACUUGUUCAUUCUUAAGCAAUAAUCAAUCUUCAUCUUUUUAAACUUCAUUGUAAUAUCUUCCGAUCUAAUAUCACCAUCGUUGAUAUUAGGUUGAGUUAUCUUAUAUAUGUUGAAGGAAUCACCAAUACAUCACCAUUAGAAUUGAUUUGGACCAAGACUUACUUUUUCUUGUCAUUUAAAAUCUAUUUACACUUUUCAUCUUUGAAAACAAAUCCAUCAAUCAUUUUCAACCAAGUUAUUGUUAAUUUAAUUUCUCUUGAGUUUUUUUGUUACCUAGCUUAAUUUCCAGAUCUAGCUCUCUGUGGAUAUGACCUCGAUCUUACCGAGUUAAUUGCUACAUCGCACACUCGUGCACUUGCGAGUUAAAACAAGCCGAACAUAAAAAGCAGUCAAGCAGUAUGCAUGAAAACAAAACAUUUUUUGAAAACUUGACAAAAACCGGUUAUUUUAAUACCAGAUUUGUAUCUUUACAAUAUAAAAAUACGAACCGAUAUUGAUCAAAAUACAGUAAUAAAAUUACAGAAAAUCACAUAUUUUUUGAAAUAAUUUUUGAAGAAUUUUUGUUCGAACGGGUCAGACCCGGCCUAAAAGGAAACUAGGCCGAAAUUGGCCCGAAAUAAAUUGGGGCCUGGUUUCUACAGGGCUGGACUCAGCCCAGCAGCAUGGGCUGGGCUGGGCUGGGGUUCUAGCCCAAAACAAGCAUGGACUGGUUACUGUGCAUAUGCACUAGUGAAUUAUAUUUUACGAACAGUGAAAUAGCAUUUCACUGUUCAAGUGAAUUAUAUUUCACUUAAACAGUGAAAUGCAAGGAAAUGGUGCAUGCACAGCGACGUGGGGAGCAAACUUGGUGGCGGAAACGGUGAUUGAAGACGAUGGCAACGGCGUACACUCGCGGUGGUGCUGGUGGUGGCCGACCGGGGGUGGCUUGGAUGGUGGUCGGUGGCUGGGGAGCCCGAUGACAGCAGCUAUUCUUUCUUCUUCUUCCCUGUGCAGAGGUGCCCACCUCUGGUUUUUUUUUCCUUUUCACGUCUGCUUUUAUUCUACUCUCUGUCACUGUCUUUGUUUCAUCUCCCUUGUCCCAAAGUCUUCUCUCCUUCUGGUCCGUUUUACUCCAGUUUCUCUCCUCUCUUUCUCCUCUGUUCGCCCCUGUUUUGUCUUCUCCUUCUGUUGCUGACGGUGUUUUCUGCUGUCAACAAUGUUCUUCCUUCUUUGCAACGUCUUCGUGGAGGUGCUGGUGGCAGGGCAUGGCUGGGAUGAAGAGGUAGUCUGGUGUGGGAGCUGGAGAGGAUAGGGGGAAGACCGGCUGUGGGUUUUGUGAGGAAAAAAAAAAAAGGCUGGCGUUCUGUCGAGUUAAUGUGGCGGAAUGGCUGUUGGGAUGAAGGAGAUGAUGAGCUGACGAUGGCGUUGCGGCUGCUCUUCCUCCCCUCUGCCGUUUCAGCGUUGCUUGGCCUCUUUGCUUCCUUUGUUUCUUUCUCGUUCCCCUCUCUUUCGUUCAAAAACUUUCCCCCUCUUUUAGUUUUCCAGCCCUCUCUCUCGUUCCAAAAACUCUACCUCUCAUCCUUCCCCUGCCAAAAACCUCCUCCUCUGUUGCAGCUGCUAAGAGCAGUAUUUAUAGCUAGGGGAAGGGGGAGCGGGGACGUUGCUGCGCAUGGGGAGCAGGGGAGCGGCCUGCUGGUUGGUUGGGCAGUGAGCGCGGCUGGUAAGGCGCGACUCUCCUGGUUUCUUGUCAUCCAAGGGCGUGGGGCUCUAGCAGCAUGCAGGAAGGGGAACAGUGUCAAAACGACACUGUUCAAUUUUUUUAUUUUUUUUAUUUUUUAUUUUUAUAUAUUUUUUUUUUGUGGGGACCCAAAAAUAGGUUACAACAAUACAAAUCUCGUUCUGUUUGAGUCAUGCGACAUUCUCCUGGUGGUGGAGGACGGCGUUGUUGAGUGAGAUUAAAAUACCUUCUGUUUUGAUCUGUGGAUUGCUGGGCUUGAAAUCCUCUUCCACUAGAUGUGAACUGAUAUGUGCUGCGUGCUGAGGAAGGCUGUUGUGUUCUCUGUUGAUGGCGUUGUUAUUGUUGUCCAUAAAACGCAAGUUGUUGUGGAAACUAUGUGUUUGUUAUAUCUGUAUGAGAGGAGAACCAAUUUCGACGUUGAUCAAAAUUUUGAAGUUGUGAAACCAGCUCUGAAUAUGAUGGUCUUGGAGGCUUCAACAUGGUUGUUGUGAAGUUUUCAUAUUGUGGACCAAGGCUGGUGAAAAGACAAAAAAACCUUUUCAUUGUCUGAAACUGGUUUUCCAAUUGCUGCAAGGCUGUCACACAAGCUUUUAAAGGUGCAGAUAUGCUCUUCCAUGGAUUGAUUUUCAUGUUUACGGAAGUAGGUAACCUGCUGACGAAGUGUAAAUUCACGUUCUUGUGAAUCCUUAGCAUACGCAUUCUUCAGUGCUUCCCAAACAGCAGAUGUUGUUUCUAGUCCAACAACAAGACUAAGUGCUUCUUCAGACAAGUUUCCAAUAAUCCAACCUCGAAGGAGUCGGUCAGAUUUUCUCCAAGUGAUGAAGGCUUCUGUUAGGACUGGUGCUGUAUUUUCUGUGUGCAGGUUGUUGAUUGAAUCUUGUGUGUUGUAUUUUGCUAGUGCAGGAUCUUCAUUGGUGAGAUGCUCAACUAGCUCCUGACUUUCUGCAAGAGCCAGAGCUUGUUCUCUUCAUAAUGGGUAGUUUGUUUGGUUAAGUUUAAGGGUAAUAAAGUUGCCAACAUUGAGAGACAACGAAGUCAUUGUGAAAUAUGUAAUUGUGUUUGAUAUGUGUGUGCUCACUCACACUCUGAUACCAAGAGAAGAAAGCUGAACAAGGGAACACAAUAGAUGAAGAAUAUGAAUUUACUGUAUUUACUGUCAAGAAUACAAACAUGAGCACUAAUACUAAUUUGUACAGGAUACUCUUUAUAUAUAGAGUAGUAAUUAACUAUUGCCUUUUCAUCACUUAUUUCUUUUUAUGAAUACAAUAUUUCUUAUUUAUAUAAAUUGAUUUGUUUCUGAAAUGAGGUAGCUGUAGUUUCCUUUUAUGAGAGAUCUGUUACGACUGUAGUUUCCUUCUUUGAGAAGUAGCCGUUGGUUGAGGUAGCUGUUGAUUCUUAUGAUUUCCAUGUAUGGUUAAUUACCAUUAUGAAUAGUAGCCGUUGGAGGUGUUAAUGCAGGGUGAGGAUCCUGUGGUGGUGGUGGUGAUGGUGCUGUCUCCUGCUGCUGCUGCAGAGUUGUUUUGUUGCUGUUAAUAAUAAGAAGAGAACGCAUAUAUAUUAUGUUUUAGAAAGGCUUUUGAAAAUCGACAUUUAAAAUUUGAAUAUCAACUCCUACGCGCUCUCCCCCGACAUUCUUCAACACUAUUUUCCUCCGUCAUCUAUUAUCUCCCUCGUCUUCUUUCCUAUUAUACAUCAAUAGAAAAACUGACUAGUUCAAACACAAAUAUGAAAAAUUGCAGCCUAAGUGGAGAAUUGAGUCAUUCGCCCAUCUAUUAGAUACUGUUAGAAAUAACUAGGGGAGGAUGUAAGAAGAAAAGCACGGUGAAAAUAGAUCUCUUUCAUACCAUAUACCAUAUUAUAAUUAUAAUUAUAGUUAUAGUUAUAAAUAAAAAACUAAAAGAGCUCAUGAAAAUACUAUAUUUUACUGUGAAUUCUAAUAGUAUUUUUUUUGUUUUUAUUGCAGGCUUUCUCGCAUGUUUUUUUUAACUCUCAUCUUUUUUGGUUUUUUGAACUUUUAUUGCUUGAAAAGAGAUGAUGAAUGUCCAUCACGUUUAUUUUUUCAACUUUGUAUCCUCCCUCUCCUGCCCUUUAUUUUGGUUUUAUUAUUAUUGGAAGAAGUUAAUGUAUUAAAAAGACUAACUAAAAAGUAAGUAAAAACAAAUAAAAAAAGAAGAAGUAAACAAAUAAAAAAAUUACAAAAACGUAAAACAGAAAAAAAAAACCCCAAUAGAAACGUAACAGAAUGAACAAAUACAUCAAGUCUUAGCUGUUUUGCAUAAGGGAAUGUGACUUAGGGAAACACUCGGUCGACAAAUCAAUGUUCACUAGCCAUAUCUCGAGUUAGAGGUUGAUGUUGAACGCUGAAGGCUCAACAUGCCAUUUUUUUUAUAUUAUUUAUAAAAAAAUCAAUUCAUCUCAAAAGUUUAAGAUGGUAGAUGAGAUUUUUAGGAUAUAAUUUAUAUUAUUCUCUGAUACAUUCUUUCAAAUAAAAAAUAGCUUGAAAUUUGUACCAAUUCAUAUUACUUUGUGCUUAAUUUUUAUCAAAUAAAUGAGGAUGACAAGAUUCGAACUUGUGACCACUUGGUCAUUAAUGGUCUGAUAUCAUAUCAAAGAACCAAUUCAACCUAAAAACUUAAACUGUUAGGUGAGAUCUUAUAAUAUAAUUUAUAUUAUUUUCUAAUAGCAUUGAAAUAUUAAUUUUGUUUGAUUGAUUGAGUUUUUGUAUUAAAGAAUUUUUUUUAUUAAUAAGGGAUUUUUGGAUGUUUUUUUAUAUACAAUGAAUUGUCAAUUUCUUCAGUAUAAUGAAAUAAAUAAAAAACUAUGAGAGCUAACAAAAUCAAACUCUAACUUUCUCCCCAAUUUCUUCACCUUUAUCAUAACAUUUGUUAAUUAGCAAAUAGUUGUCUACAACUUUUCCAAAUCUGAGUUUGGGAUCUUGAAUUUUCAGUGCUGUGCGUUUUUGUCUGUGACAAACUUUUAUGUGAUAGAGAGAUAGAAAGAGAUGGUCAAAUUUGAGUUUUUCUUCUUUUGCAUUUUAUUUGAAAUAAAUAGAGAAAUAGGUAGAGAUUAUUAACGUGGUUGUCAUUUUUGUGCUCUAAAAUAGACGUUGGGUUUGUUAAUUGUUGCAGGUGAUCGUGGGUGAUGUUGAGGCUGCCAUGGCCAUGCGAGAGAAAGGAGAGAGGAGGGCAACUGGAUAGAGGAGUUAUUGAAUGAUGAGUUCUACAUUAGACUUAGGCAUAACAUUAGACUUAGACAUAGGUGGGAAACUGGACAGCUAGAGUAAUUUUACUUUCUUUCAUUUCCAGUAGACUGAUAUUUCCGCUUUUUUUUUCUUUUUUUUUCCUAGAUUUUAAAUUAUUCUAGGUCUGAAGAUUUGUGUCAUGCUAUCUGUUGAUGUUUAAGAAUAUACAGAACUUACAGAACUUCCAGAUGAGUUCAAGAAUGCAGUUAAGAUUUUUAUACAUGGUUGUGAAAGCAAACAAUAUCGUAAAUAGAAACUAGCAAAGGGAAACCCAAGAUCCUGAAGGAUUUAAUUUGUUCUUAUGAAAUUGUUGCUUAAAAAUAUUGAAGGCAGAGAUAAGUGAUCUUUAGUAUGAAAUAUGAGUUGGUUAUGCCAUAGAUUUCCACAUUGUUGAUGCCAACUUUCUAAGUAUGUAAAUGAAUCCUUUAUACUGUUAGUGCCAUUAGUUUUUUUUUUUUCCCUUUAACCUAUUUUUGGGAAUCAUAUAUUGUUUAGAUGAACAUUGAAUUACUGAUCGAUUUGCUAAUUAAAAAUCACUUUUGUUUAUUGAUUUAUUUGACAGGCAACGCCAAAGUUCUUGCCGGUAAAGUUGGAGGACAAGCAAUAACUCAAAGUUGCUUAACUAAAAGAUUUUUAUCUUAAGGAAGGAAUGAUCCUUGCAAAUACCACAUCUGCUGGAAUGGAACCAAGGAUAGCUUCUGAACACUAUUCAUUAGUCUUCAAUACAAUUUACACUCCAAAAUUAGCUUCUCUCUUAAGAGAAGCACAGGAGGCUGGAAGCACCAUUGUUUAAGGGUCGGAGAUGUUCAUCGACCAAGCAAUUUUUUUUUUUAUUAUUUUUGCAUUUGUCCAUUUAUUUGAAUCAAUUGGGAUUUAGAGCUCAUCUUUCACUGCUUAUUUUUUUUUUCUCAAUCACAUCAUGGUGGAAUUUUAGAGUUUCUUAGUUGUUAAUAUUUGACAAUCUUUGCUGUCUUUUUCUUUGAAUCUGUAAUUAAUUAGAACAAAAGACUGAGGCUGGUACUUUCUGAUUUUUUAUCUUCUGUAAUUGGGUCUUACACAAGUGGAGCAACUAACAAAAUCUUCUUCGUGGUUACAGCUAAAAGAUCAUCCAAGUAUUUACCCUCAAUCUCUCUCAAAACUCCUGACAAACAUUAUUCCAGAUGAUUGUUUCAAGUGUUGAAGAAUUCAGUAUUUAAGGGAAAGAAAAUCUUUCGUGAGCUCUUGAAGGCAUGAACUACAACAAAAUUUUCCUUAUUGCCAAUAACCACAAAGUGAACGGUUGGGAUAUUCAAUGACAAUGUCAGUGGUGGAGCCCAUGGUUGAAAGAAAUCAUAAAUAAGAAAAUCUGGCCAUAAUAUUGUCAGAAUGUUUGAGAAGCUACUACUUGUCAUAUCAAAUGAUUGCAUCAAGUUUCGCAAGGGAUGAUUUGGAAAGAUCUGAAAUUAAGAAGAAAAGAAUAAGAAACUGAUAUUGUUUGCUGCUGUUUAUUUCUUUUUCUUUCUACAACAGGUUGCUGCAUAUUUAACUGUUUAUGCUAGCUUUUUCUCCAUGUUGUUUUUCUCUUUUGCAUUGCAAGAAAAAUAGGGUGCAAAAUGGCUAUGACAAUCAUGUUUUAGCCAAAAACAAUUGCCAAAACAAUCAAGCAUGAUGAAGAAUCAUGCCAUGUAAUUCAACAAUAUGAUUUUCACUGCAUUAUUUUGGUUUGCUGCUGUUUAUUUAUUUUUCUUUUUACAACAGGUUGCUGCAAAUUUGACAAUUUCUUCAUAGGAGAAACAUGCAUUUUCACUUCACUUUACUUUAAUUAGAAUUUUGCUUUUAUAUGUAUUUGCUAAAUUUGUGUCGAUUUUUCACUUGCAUGAGACCAUGUUACUUCACAAAAUAUCGUUAAUUAUUUGGGAUAUAGCUCGCGGAGAAGAGGAUAGACUUGGAUUUAACAUAAUACUUAAACACGGACAAGACUACACCAAAUUAUUUAUAUUAAUCUACACAUAUAGAAUUAGUAGCUGGAAAAACCUCUUGGAAUCUACGGUCACAUAAACACCGAGACACCAAAAUAAAAAUAUACUGAUAACCAAGAUUGCAAAAUGUGAGUCUAAUUACCCCAAACCAAAACCAUGAGCAAAAACAAGGACCCGUCCUAGCAUGAUGAAAAUCCUUGCUAUAUUUUUUCCCUCGUGUUGGCUACUUUGAUGAACAUGCAAACUAGAAGGAAGAUCACAGGAUGUCUUGAAAUCACUACUCACUUUACUUUGAUGGUAAUUAACAAGGAAAAAAAAUCAAGAGCUAAUAAGAAAUUAGAUCCAUGGAAAACUGACGAAGAUCUUCAAGCUAAAGCAAGUUGGAUUCUUCCCCAAAACUCAUGCAGCAGAAGCUGCUGCACAGCCAGCUGCUGCUCAAGCAGCUGCUGCUCACUCAGCUGCUCAGACAGCUGCUGCUCAAGCAGCUGCAGCUGCUCAAGCGACAGCUGCUCAAGCGGCAGCUGCUCCAGCACCAGCUGCUCAAACAGCAGCAGCUGCUCAGACAAGUGCUCGCUCUUCUGGAUCCAAACAUUCCUUUUCCCAUUCCUAUAAAGAGCAUAGAAUUGUUAACAUUAAGUCGAGGUACACACACAAAAAAUAUGUAAUGAUUACCUUUUCAAUGAUCUCGAUCUAGAUGAAAUUUCAACUUCACUGAGAAUAUUCAUCCAUCUUUGUACCUUCUCCUUGUUUUCCCUGAAAUUUUCUUCAUUCUUGUCAAAGACAAUUUUAUAACUCUCUGUUUGAUCAUCUAUCUUUGAUUGUUCGACAUCAUAAGAAACUGGAAACACAGUGUCCAAUCUCAUCUCAUCCAUGAAUCCGACAAUCUUGACAAGCUCUCCAAAGCACCAAGGUAAAGAAGCACAAUCUCUUGAAAAUAUAAUAAUUGACAGCCCUGAUUCUUCAAUGGCCUCAAAGAGUCUUGAUCUAAUUGCCAUUACUUUCUCUGGUUCCUUCUCGACUGGGAUAAUGAAUCUCCGGGAUCGAUCUGACUUUAAAUAGCUGACACCAUUACUAGUGUCUGUGACUCUGAUGCCAGGGAAAACAUUGGCCUUCCAUUGAUGGUAAGAUGAAGAAAAAGUUAAAGAAGCUUUAUAUGAAGAAGCUGCUUCUUUGCUUGUAACAAUAAAAUGGGCAGAAGAUGGUUGUGGUGUAAUAUAUAGAGAAGAUAACAAACAAACACCACAAUUCUUCACCUUUACUCGUCGCUCGUAAGAAUGGAAGGACAACUCAAUGUUGCUAAAGGAUUCAUGCUGCCAUUCUUUAAGCUCUUUAAGGUAAUCAAAAGAUAGAUAGAAUAGCCAAAUAUGAUCUGACAGAACUUGGAUAGAGUUACAACUAAUACACAUC